rnacentral:rRNA from 1 species
UACAGAGGUCUCGAGCGUUAGGCGGAAUUACUGGGCGUAAAGCGUGCGCAGGCGGUUUCUUAAGUCAGAUGUGAAAGCCCCGGGCUUAACCUGGGAACUGCGUUUGAAACUGGGAGACUUGAGUGUGGCAGAGGGGGGUGGAAUUCCACGUGUAGCAGUGAAAUGCGUAGAUAUGUGGAGGAACACCGAUGGCGAAGGCAGCCCCCUGGGUUAACACUGACGCUCAUGCACGAAAGCGUGGGGAGCAAACAGG